UACGGAGGGUGCAAGCGUUAUCCGGAUUUACUGGGUUUAAAGGGUGCGUAGGUGGACUUGUAAGUCAGUGGUGAAAUCUCCGAGCUUAACUCGGAAACUGCCAUUGAUACUAUUAGUCUUGAAUACUGUGGAGGUUAGCGGAAUAUGUCAUGUAGCGGUGAAAUGCUUAGAUAUGACAUAGAACACCAAUUGCGAAGGCAGCUGGCUACACAAAUAUUGACACUGAGGCACGAAAGCGUGGGGAUCAAACAGG
rnacentral:rRNA from 1 species